rnacentral:rRNA from 1 species
AGCGUCAAAAGGGCAUCCGGGGGAUGUCUUGGCGGUAAGAGGCGAUGAAGGACGUGGCACUCUGCGAUAAGCACGGGGGAGGCGAGAGCACCCUUUGAUCCCGUGAUUUCCGAAUGGGGAAACCCACCUCCGAGAUGAGAGACUACAGGCUGGCAUCCGUGUCAGCCCUUGGUCUUUCAUUUCACUAGAGAGGUAUUUCACACUGAAUACAUAGGUGUUGAAAAGCAAACCCGGGGAAUUGAAACAUCUAAGUACCCGGAGGAAAGGACAUCAAUUGAGACUCCGUUAGUAGUGGCGAGCGAACGCGGACCAGGCCAGUGGCAAUAGUAAGAAAAGCGGAAGCGUCUGGAAAGUCGUGCCGUAGUGGGUGAUAGCCCCGUACGCGUUAAUCGAACUAUUGUCCUCGAGUAGGGCGGAACACGUGAAAUUCUGUCUGAACAUGGGGGGACCACCCUCCAAGCCUAAAUACUACUGACUGACCGAUAGUGAACUAGUACCGUGAGGGAAAGAUGAAAAGAACCCCGAUAAGGGGAGUGAAAUAGAACUUGAAACCAUGUACCUACAAUCGGUGGAAGCGCUAUUGUAAAGCGUGACCACGUACCUUUUGCAUUAUGAGCCAUCGAGUUACGAUGUGUAGCGAGGUUAAGCCUUUAGGUGUAGCCGUAGGGAAACCGAGUCUGAAUAGGGCGAAUAGUUGCAUGUCGUAGACCCGAAACGGGAUGAGCUUACCAUGGGCAGGUUGAAGCGAGGGUAAAACCUCGUGGAGGACCGAACCCGUUAAGGUUGAAAACUUUUGGGAUGACCUGUGGUAAGGGGUGAAAGGCCAAUCAAAUUCCGUGAUAGCUGGUUCUCUCCGAAAUGCAUUUAGGUGCAGCGUCUAAUGAAUACCGUUGGGGGUAUAGCACUGAAUUGGCUAGGGGGCUUACCGGCUUACCAAACCAUAUCAAACUCAGAAUACCGUUAAGUACUAUCAGGCAGUGAGACUGCGGAUGCUAAGGUCCGUAGUCGAAAGGGAAAGAGCCCAGACCAUCAGCUAAGGUCCCCAAAUCAAUUCUAAGUGGGAAAGGUUGUGGGAUUACUUUGACAUCCAGGAGGUUGGCUUAGAAGCAGCCACCCUUUAAAGA